CCGUCCUCUACAGCGGGCCAUAACUCGGUGGUCCACCGCUCCAGAGUCAAGUCGUGGAAGCUGCGCCAGUGGAGGCACAGCCGACCGGAAGUCGAUCGGUCACUGGAAAGCAUUGCUGCGUAUGGAGCAACAACAGGUCACUCUGCCAGACAAAUAAGUCCGAGCCUCCCAGCCCAGCACUCCGUACAUCCCAACAAGAGUUUGGGAACCACUGCCGACGACCCGGCGGUCCGGAGAAAACCUCUUCUUGUAGCGCCCGGUAACAGAAAACACACACACAACAUGACGGGACGGUUUGGUUCCACGCCUCGGACUCGGAACCCACGCCGAAUGCCUGCAAUGUUUUGCUGACUAACGUGCGGUUCUGCGCCUGGGCACAAGUCACCACACAGCAGCAGCCUUCGCCAGCCAACACCAAUGGCGCGCGCUAAUCUGUGUCUUUCACUGGAAGUCAGGGCGCAACCGAGGUGUGAAAUGGGCGAAUGAUAGAUGCUUGUUGUGUAGAAGUUAAAUCGCGAUACAGCGUCACUAGC